AGAGUUUGAUCCUGGCUCAGAGCGAACGCUGGCGGCAGGCCUAACACAUGCAAGUCGAGCGCCCAGCAAUGGGAGCGGCAGACGGGAUAGUAACACGUGGGAACGUACCUUUCAGUUCGGAACAACCAAGGGAAACUUUGGCUAAUACCGAAUACGCCCGUAAGGGGAAAGAUUUAUCGCUGAAAGAUCGGCCCGCGUCUGAUUAGCUAGUUGGUGAGGUAAUGGCUCACCAAGGCGACGAUCAGUAGCUGGUCUGAGAGGAUGAUCGGCAUCACUGGGACUGAGACACGGCCCAGACUCCUACGGGAGGCAGCAGUGGGGAAUAUUGGACAAUGGGCGCAAGCCUGAUCCAGCCAUGCCGCGUGAGUGAUGAAGGCCUUAGGGUUGUAAAGCUCUUUCGUCAGGGAAGAUAAUGACGGUACCUGAAGAAGAAGCCCCGGCUAACUUCGUGCCAGCAGCCGCGGUAAUACGAAGGGGGCUAGCGUUGCUCGGAAUCACUGGGCGUAAAGCGCACGUAGGCGGCUUUCUAAGUCAGGGGUGAAAUCCUGGAGCUCAACUCCAGAACUGCCCUUGAUACUGGAAAGCUUGAGUUCGGGAGAGGUGAGUGGAACUGCGAGUGUAGAGGUGAAAUUCGUAGAUAUUCGCAAGAACACCAGUGGCGAAGGCGGCUCACUGGCCCGAUACUGACGCUGAGGUGCGAAAGCGUGGGGGAGCAAACAGGAUUAGAUACCCUGGUAG
rnacentral:rRNA from 1 species